rnacentral:rRNA from 1 species
CGCCUGGGGAGUGCGGCCGCAAGGUUAAAACUCGAAUGAAUUGACGGGGCCCGCACAAGCGGUGGAGCAUGUGGUUUAAUUCGACGCAACGCGAAGAACCUUACCUGGCCCUGACAUGCAGAGAACUUUCCAGAGAUGGAUUGGUGCCUUCGGGAACUCUGACACAGGUGCUGCAUGGCCGUCGUCAGCUCGUGUCGUGAGAUGUUGGGUUAAGUCCCGUAACGAGCGCAACCCCUAUCCCUAGUUGCUAGCAGUUCGGCUGAGAACUCUAGGGAGACUGCCGGUGACAAACCGGAGGAAGGUGGGGAUGACGUCAGGUCAUCAUGGCCCUUACGGCCAGGGCUACACACGUGCUACAAUGGUGCGCACAGAGGGCUGCGAACCCGCGAGGGGGAGCCAAUCUCACAAAACGCAUCGUAGUCCGGAUCGCAGUCUGCAACUCGACUGCGUGAAGUCGGAAUCGCUAGUAAUCGUGAAUCAGAAUGUCACGGUGAAUACGUUCCCGGGCCUUGUACACACCGCCCGUCACACCAUGGGAGUGGAUUGCACCAGAAGUGGUUAGUCUAACCUUCGGGAGGACGAUCACCACGGUGUGGUUCAUGACUGGGGUGAAGUCGUAACAAGGUAACCGUA